rnacentral:lncRNA from 10 species
CCAGGCUGCAGUGCAAUGGCGCGAUCUCAGCUCACUAGAACCUCUGCCUCCCAGGUUCAAGCGAUUCUCUUGCCUCAGCCUCCCUAGUAGUGGGAUUAUAGGCACCCGCCACCAUGCCCGGCUAAUUUUUGUAUUUUUAGUAGAGAUAGGGUUUCACCAUGUUGGUCAGGCUGGUCUUGAACUCCUAACCUUAGGUGAUCUGGCCACCUAAGCCUCCCAAAGUGCUGGGAUUACAGGCAUGUGCCACCGCAGCCGGCCGAGGCCCACUGGCUUUUGAGGUUCCCUCUCCAAGAGGUCACCAGUGUCCAUGGAGGCUGCACCAUUCAAUCCGGUUGCCUAUCGUGACUGGGCUCUCUGACUCCACAGCCUGGGUCACAAGCUACCAUGGGCACUGAAUGAGGGAAGCUUGAGGCAUCUGGGCCAAGUGGCUGGGUCUC